CCUACGGGAGGCAGCAGUGAGGAAUAUUGGUCAAUGGACGAGAGUCUGAACCAGCCAAGUAGCGUGAAGGAUGACUGCCCUCUGGGUUGUAAACUUCUUUUAUAUGGGAAUAAAAUGUUCCACGUGUGGGAUUUUGUAUGUACCAUAUGAAUACGGAUCGGCUAACUCAGUGCCAGCAGACGCGGUAAUACGGAGGAUCCGAGCGUUGUCCGGAUUUAUUUGGUUUAAAGGGAGCGUAUGUGGAUUGUUAAGUCAGUUGUGAAAGUUUGCGGCUCAACCGUAGAAUUGCAGUUGAAACUGGCAGUCUUGAGUACAGUAGAGGUGGGCGGAAUUCGUGGUGUAGCGGUGAAAUGCUUAGAUAUCACGAAGAACUCCGAUUGCGAAGGCAGCUCACUUGACUGCAACUGACACUGAGGCUCGAAAGUGUGGGUAUCAAACAGGAUUAGAUACCCUUGUAGUC
rnacentral:rRNA from 1 species